rnacentral:rRNA from 1 species
AUUGAACGCUGGCGGCAGGCCUAACACAUGCAAGUCGAACGAGUGGCGGACGGGCGAGUAAUGCUUGGGAAUCUGGCUUAUGGAGGGGGAUAACGAGGGGAAACUGUCGCUAAUACUGCGUACCACAGGUUGAGCCCAAGUGGGAUUAGGUAGUUGGUGUGGUAAUGGCCUACAAAGCCGACGACCUCUAGCUGGUCUGAGAGGAUGACCGGCCACACCGUGACUGAGACACGGCCCGGACUCCUACGGGAGGCAGCAGUGGGGAAUAUUGCGCAAUGGGGGCAACCUGACGCAGCCAUGCCGCGUGAGUGAAGAAGGCCUUCGGGUUGUAAAGUUCUUUCGGUGACGAGGCGUUAAUCACAGAAGAAGCACCGGCUAACGCCGUGCCAGCCGCCGCGGUAAUAC